AAAUGGACUCUCAGCAACGGAUAUCUUUGGCUCUUGCAACGA
rnacentral:rRNA from 1 species